rnacentral:rRNA from 1 species
UCCUACGGGAGGCAGCAGUGGGGAAUUUUCCGCAAUGGGCGAAAGCCUGACGGAGCAAUACCGCGUGAGGGAGGAAGGUUCUUGGAUUGUAAACCUCUUUUCUUAGGGAAGAAGUUCUGACGGUACCUAAGGAAUAAGCAUCGGCUAACUCCGUGCCAGCAGCCGCGGUAAU